UACGUAGGGUGCGAGCGUUUGUCCGGGAAUUAUUGGGCGUAAAGAGCUCGUAGGCGGUGUGUCACGUCGGGACCUGAAACCUGCAGCUUAACUGGUGGGCGUGCGGUCGAGUACGGGCAUCACUGGAGUUCGGCAGGGGAGAGACUGGAAGUUCCUGGUGUAGCGGUGAAAUGCACAGAUAUCAGGAGGAACACCGGUGGCGAAGG
rnacentral:rRNA from 1 species